CGCCCAGACUCCUACGGGAGGCAGCAGUGGGGAAUAUUGCACAAUGGGGGGAACCCUGAUGCAGCAACGCCGCGUGGGUGAAGAAGUAUUUCGGUAUGUAAAGCCCUAUCAGCAGGGAAGAAGAUGACGGUACCUGACUAAGAAGCCCCGGCUAAAUACGUGCCAGCAGCCGCGGUAAUACGUAUGGGGCAAGCGUUAUCCGGAUUUACUGGGUGUAAAGGGAGCGCAGGCGGCGCGGCAAGUCAGAUGUGAAAGCCCGGGGCUCAACCCCGGGACUGCAUUUGAAACUGCCGUGCUGGAGUGUCGGAGAGGCAAGUGGAAUUCCUAGUGUAGCGGUGAAAUGCGUAGAUAUUAGGAGGAACACCAGCGGCGAAGGCGGCCUGCUGGACCGUAACUGACGUUGAGGCUCGAAAGCGUGGGGAGCAAACAGGAUUAGAUACCCCAGUAC
rnacentral:rRNA from 1 species